rnacentral:rRNA from 1 species
GACGAACGCUGGCGGCGUGCCUAAUGCAUGCAAGUCGAACGAGCGGACGUCGGGAGGUCUGCGCCGAUGGUAGCGGCGGACGGGACGGUAACACGUGGAUGACCUAGACAUCAGACCGGGAGAAGUGCGGAAAACGGAUACUCACACAGGAGAAAAGUGUGAGCAGUAAGGUGCAAAGGAAUAAGACGGUGGUGCAUUCGGUAGUUGAUGUAUCCGCGCCGCACUAGCUCGGUGGUAGGGUAACGGCUUACCAAGGCAACGAUGCAUAGCCGACCUGAGAGGGUGAUCGGCCACACUGGAACUGAGACACGGUCCAGACUCCUACGGGAGGCAGCAGUAGGGAAUCUUCCGCAAUGGGCGAAAGCCUGACGGAGCAGCGCCGCGUGAGUGAUGAAGGUCUUCGGAUCGUAAAACUCUGUUAUUAGGGAAGAACAUAUGUGUAAGUAACUGUGCACAUCUUGACGGUACCUAAUCAGAAAGCCACGGCUAACUACGUG